rnacentral:rRNA from 1 species
UACGUAGGGUGCAAGCGUUAAUCGGAAUUACUGGGCGUAAAGCGUAGGCGUAGGUGGUUUGUUAAGUCUGUUGUGAAAGCCCCGGGCUCAACCUGGGAAUGGCAAUGGAUACUGGCAAAGCUAGAGUGCGGUAGAGGGUAGUGGAAUUCCCGGUGUAGCGGUGAAAUGCGUAGAAGAUCGGGAGGAACACCAGUGGCGAAGGCGGCUACCUGGACCAGCACUCGACCACUGAGGCACGAAAGCGUGGGGGAAGCAAACAGGG